UCUGGUUGAUCCUGCCAGUAGUCAUAUGCUUGUCUCAAAGAUUAAGCCAUGCAUGUCUAAGUAUAAAUAGUAUACAGUGAAACUGCGAAUGGCUCUUUAAAACAGUUAUAGUUUAUUUGAUAAUUGACAAUUACAUGGAUAACCGUGGUAAUUCUAGAGCUAAUACAUGCUUAAACGCCCGACUUUAUGGAAGGGUGGUAUUUAUUAGACUGAAGCCAAUAUUCCUUGUGUCUAUUGCGGUGAUUCAUAAUAACUGAUCGAAUCUCUUUUUGAGAUAAAUCAUUCAAGUUUCUGCCCUAUCAGCUUUCGAUGGUAGUGUAUUGGACUACCAUGGCAGUAACGGGUAACGAAGAAUUAGGGUUCGAUUUCGGAGAGGGAGCAUGAGAAACGGCUACCACAUCUAAGGAAGGCAGCAGGCGCGUAAAUUACCCGAUCCUGACUCAGGGAGGUAGUGACAAGAAAUAGCAAACCGGGAACCUCAUGGUUUCACGGUAUUGCAAUGAGAACAAUUUAAAACCCUUAGCGAGAAUCAAGUGGAGGACAAGUCUGGUGCCAGCACCCGCGGUAAUUCCAGCUCCACUAGCGUAUAUUAAAGUUGUUGCAGUUAAAAAGCUCGUAGUUGAACCUCUGUCUGGGGCUAGUUUUGGCUUUGGUCAGGCUAGUUCUAGGCAUCCGCCUACAAGACUUAGAGGGCAUUCAGUUGUUCACUAGGAGGAGUAGGCAUUUUACUUUGAAAAAAUUAGAGUGUUUAAGGCAGGCAAUCGCCCGCAUAUAUUAGCAUGGAAUAAUAGAAUAGGACACUUUUCCAUUUCGUUGGUUAUUGGAAUCGUGUAAUGAUUAAUAGGGACAGUUGUGGGCAUUUGUAUUUAAUUGUCAGAGGUGAAAUUCUUGGAUUUAUUAAAGACAAACUAACGCGAAAGCAUUUGUCAAGGAUGUUUUCAUUAAUCAAGAACGAAAGUUAGGGGAUCAAAGACGAUCAGAUACCGUCCUAGUCUUAACUAUAAACUAUUCCGACUCAAUGUUUGACUGGCUUAUAUAACCAGUUGAGCGUUGUAUGAGAAAUCAAAGUCUUUAGGUUCUGGGGGGAGUAUGGUUGCAAAGCUGAAACUUAAAGGAAUUGACGGAAGAGCACAACCAGGAGUGGAUUCUGCGGCUUAAUUUGACUCAACACGGGGAAACUUACCAGGUUGAAACAAUAGUGGGAUUGACAGUUUGAGAGCGCUUUCUUGAUUGGUUGGGUGGUGGUGCAUGGCCGUUCUUAGUUGGUGGAGUGAUUU
rnacentral:rRNA from 1 species